rnacentral:rRNA from 1 species
ACUACGGGCGGCUGCAGUGGGGAAUAUUGCACAAUGGGCGCAAGCCUGAUGCAGCCAUGCCGCGUGUGUGAAGAAGGCCUUCGGGUUGUAAAGCACUUUCAGCGGGGAGGAGGGCGGUGAGGUUAAUAACCUCAUCGAUUGACGUUACCCGCAGAAGAAGCACCGGCUAACUCCGUGCCAGCAGCCGCGGUAAUACGGAGGGUGCAAGCGUUAAUCGGAAUUACUGGGCGUAAAGCGCACGCAGGCGGUCUGUCAAGUCGGAUGUGAAAUCCCCGGGCUCAACCUGGGAACUGCAUUCGAAACUGGCAGGCUAGAGUCUUGUAGAGGGGGGUAGAAUUCCAGGUGUAGCGGUGAAAUGCGUAGAGAUCUGGAGGAAUACCGGUGGCGAAGGCGGCCCCCUGGACAAAGACUGACGCUCAGGUGCGAAAGCGUGGGGAGCAAACAGGAUUAGAUACCCCGGUAGUC